CACUGGAGGAUAUUUAUCUCCAAACUCAUCCAAUUAAAUCCAUGAAAUAUAGACAACUCUUUUAUGUCAGUCAUACCUCAAUAAAAUGUUUUGUUUUGUUUUGUUUUGUUUUGUUUUUAAAAGAAGAAUGUGUUUGGAGAAGGAGGAAAAGGAAUUCCCACACUCUCUGGUAUUUGGAUGCAGAAAGGAACCAGCAGAGAAGGAUAGGAAGAAUUGGAUCACAGUUCUGCAGAGGGAAUAGAUACCGAAUAUCUUCAGUAUCUGAAUGUGGAUGGAAAGAGGAAAAUUUGGCAGAGGACCCUUGCAGAAUUUUAACAGGGAGGAGCCAAGAUGGCAGAAUAGCACGGAAGUUUUUUGUAUGUCUUGCAUCCAUGAAAUACAGCCAGACCAACACUAAACCAUCCUACACACCUAGAAAACUGACUGGAGGAUUAACACAACAAUCUGCACAACCUGAACCACAGAAUUCAGCAGGUACGUGGUGCAGAGAAGUGAACUUGGGGAACGAGAAGGUGCAGGAAGGGAGGUGCUUUUGUGAGUGGAGAGAGGAUGGAGACUGGGGGGGGGAGAGGAUACAGGAAAAGCACUCCUCCACAAAAGCAGCUGGAGAAAAGUGGAAAAUUGGAAACAGCUGCAGGGACUAAAUUAAAAAGGGAGAAAGGAGAAAGGAGUGGGUUUAAAUUCCAUUAAGACUGUAAACAAGGGGAGUGCAGUCUGCAACUCCGCAGCUUGAUACCUGGUGGUGCUCUGGUGGGAAGGGCGAAUCCCCA
rnacentral:lncRNA from 1 species